UUAGUGAUGAUGUGUUUAUCUUUGCUCAGAUGAACGCUGGCGGUAUGCUUACCAUGCGCAAGUCGAACGGAAUCUUUAGGGAUUUAGUGGCGGACGGGUGAGUAACGCGUGAGAAUCUGGCUUCAGGUCUGGGACAACCACUGGAAACGGUGGCUAAUACCGGGAUGUGCCGAGAGGUGAAAGGCUUGCUGCCUGAAGAUGAGCUUGCGUCUGAUUAGCUAGUUGGUGGGGUAAGAGCCUACCAAGGCGACGAUCAGUAGCUGGUCUGAGAGGAUGAUCAGCCACACUGGGACUGAGACACGGCCCAGACUCCUACGGGAGGCAGCAGUGGGGAAUUUUCCGCAAUGGAUGGCGAGCUGACGGAGCAAUACCGCGUGAGGGAGGAAGGCUCUUGGGUUGUAAACCUCUUUUCUCAGGGAAGAAAAAAAUGACGGUACCUGAGGAAUAAGCAUCGGCUAACUCCGUGCCAGCAGCCGCGGUAAUACGGAGGAUGCAAGCGUUAUCCGGAAUGAUUGGGCGUAAAGGGUCCGCAGGUGGCUGUGUAAGUCUGCUGUUAAAUAGUCAUGCUCAACAUGAUCAAGGCAGUGGAAACUACACAGCUAGAGUGCGUUCGGGGCAGAGGGAAUUCCUGGUGUAGCGGUGAAAUGCGUAGAUAUCAGGAAGAACACCGGUGGCGAAAGCGCUCUGCUAGGCCGCAACUGACACUGAGGGACGAAAGCUAGGGGAGCGAAUGGGAUUAGAUACCCCAGUAGUCCUAGCCGUAAACGAUGGAUACUAGGCGUGGCUUGUAUCGACCCGAGCCGUGCCGUAGCUAACGCGUUAAGUAUCCCGCCUGGGGAGUACGCACGCAAGUGUGAAACUCAAAGGAAUUGACGGGGGCCCGCACAAGCGGUGGGAGUAUGUGGUUUAAUUCGAUGCAACGCGAAGAACCUUACCAAGACUUGACAUGUCGCGAAUUUCCUUGAAAGGGGAAAGUGCCUUCGGGAGCGCGAACACAGGUGGUGCAUGGCUGUCGUCAGCUCGUGUCGUGAGAUGUUGGGUUAAGUCCCGCAACGAGCGCAACCCUCGUUUCUAGUUGCCAGCAAUAAGAUGGGAACUCUAGAAGGAGACUGCCGGUGACAAACCGGAGGAAGGUGGGGAUGACGUCAAGUCAGCAUGCCCCUUACGUCUUGGGCUACACACGUACUACAAUGCUACGGACAAAGGGCAGCUACACAGCGAUGUGAUGCAAAUCUCAUAAACCGUAGCUCAGUUCAGAUCGAAGGCUGCAACUCGCCUUCGUGAAGGAGGAAUCCGCUAGUAAUUGCAGGUCAGCAUACUGCAGUGAAUUCGUUCCCGGGCCUUGUACACACCGCCCGUCACAACCAUGGAAGUCGGUCACCGCCCGAAGUCAUUACCCCAACCUUUUGGAGGGGGAUGCCUAAGGUAGGACUGGUGACUGGGGUGAAGUCGUAACAAGGUAGCCGUACCGGAAGGUGUGGCUGGAUCACCUCCUUUUUAGGGAGACCUAAUCCAUUUAGAAAUCAAUUACCAACGGUAAAGAGAUACUAAAUUGGUCUAUCCUAGGUCGGUCGCAGGUAUGAAUUUGAGUCUUUCAAAGUAUUAUUGGGUUUAGGUAAGUUAAGUAUAACUCUCGACGUUGGCAGAAGUCAGCACACUGAUGAGAGUCACACUGCUGGGGUAGCAACCAGUCCAGCACCUUGAAUAACUGCAUAGUAACGCGUAAAAAGGCCAGCAUGACGAAACUGAGUGAUGAGUACCGUAGUAAUGAGUGAAUGACUCAUAGCUGGGGUAUAAAUAAGUUCAGUAAGCCAAGAAAACUUUGCUAGUAGAACGAUGAGAAGUGUCAAGCUACUACCGUCUAAUGGUGAUACCUAGCAUGAAAGAGCAAAAAGAAUGACCUUGGUAAACACACCGCCAAACCCUUGGAAAUCGUGCAUAUUACGCGAAAAAAGAUCAGCGAACAAACUGAUUACUGAGUGAUGAUUACGAGUAAUGAUGAAAGACUCGAGCGGGUAUAAUAGAGUUCAGAAGCUGAAGUUGGCAAGUAAACCAUGAAAGUGUCAGCUAUAGGCCUAAUGUGAUCUAGGACAGAGCAAGUUUGGAAUCUGCCUAGAGCGAGAGUCUAGAUUUCGUCUA
rnacentral:rRNA from 1 species